rnacentral:rRNA from 1 species
CGAGGGUGCAAGCGUUGUCCGGAUUUAUUGGGUUUAAAGGGUGCGUAGGCGGCUUUUAAGUCAGUGGUGAAAGACAACAGCUCAACUGUUGCAGUGCCAUUGAUACUGAAGAGCUUGAGUACAGAUGAGGUAGGCGGAAUUUAUGGUGUAGCGGUGAAAUGCAUAGAUACCAUAAAGAACACCUAUUGCGAAGGCAGCUUACUAAGCUGUAACUGACGCUGAGGCACGAAAGUGUGGGGGAUCAAACAGGAUUAGAUACCCCUGGUAGUCCACACUGUAAACGAUGAUCACUCGAUGUGUGCGAUAGACAGUACGCGUCCAAGCGAAAGCGUUAAGUGAUCCACCUGGGGAGUACGCUCGCAAGAGUG